rnacentral:rRNA from 1 species
UCUACCGAUUGAAUGGCUCAGUGAGGCGUCCGGACUGGCCCAGAGAGGUGGGCAACUACCACUCAGGGCCGGAAAGCUCUCCAAACUCGGUCAUUUAGAGGAAGUAAAAGUCGUAACAAGGUCUCCGUUGGUGAACCAGCGGAGGGAUCAUUACCGAGUUUACAACUCCCAAACCCCUGUGAACAUACCACUUGUUGCCUCGGCGGAUCAGCCCGCUCCCGGUAAAACGGGACGGCCCGCCAGAGGACCCCUAAACUCUGUUUCUAUAUGUAACUUCUGAGUAAAACCAUAAAUAAAUCAAAACUUUCAACAACGGAUCUCUUGGUUCUGGCAUCGAUGAAGAACGCAGCAAAAUGCGAUAAGUAAUGUGAAUUGCAGAAUUCAGUGAAUCAUCGAAUCUUUGAACGCACAUUGCGCCCGCCAGUAUUCUGGCGGGCAUGCCUGUUCGAGCGUCAUUUCAACCCUCAAGCCCUCGGGUUUGGUGUUGGGGAUCGGCGAGCCCUUGCGGCAAGCCGGCCCCGAAAUCUAGUGGCGGUCUCGCUGCAGCCUCCAUUGCGUAGUAGUAAAACCCUCGCAACUGGAACGCGGCGCGGCCAAGCCGUUAAACCCCCAACUUCUGAAUGUUGACCUCGGAUCAGGUAGGAAUACCCGCUGAACUUAAGCAUAUCA